AUGGCAUUAAGAUUCCUGCAAAGCCAUUUUUUUUUCCUCUCGGCGGAGUAGGGAAAUUGUUUGGGGCUAAGUUGGGAAUGGUUUGAUUGCCUCUGAUAUAAACAUCUCUGAAGUAUAUUUUUUCCAUGGCCAAGUAACCUCACAACCUCAAAUCAAGGAAGGAAUCAGACAGACUGUGUGCAGCUAGACUUCUCUUAAAGUGAAAUUGAGUAUGGUAAUCACAGCUUUCAGAAUUUGUGAAAAUACCAAUGUAAGAAAAUUAGCUCUAAUGCAAGUUUAGCCAUGAAAUCUUAUUGAGAAAAGUCUUAUUCAAGUAUGGAGCAUUUAAAUAAUAAACAUAUAAGGGGAAACACAAAGAAAUCACAGAAAACUAGUAUUUACAAUGAGUAAAACAGGGCUGCUGUAAUGACUCUGGAUUUGAGCAUGAAAUGCUUUGGUUGAUUUCUGUGCAUUGUCUCUUGUCAGACUGUGAGCUUGUCUGAUGAUUUGCAGAAGUCUCUUGGGAGAGUAUCUUUGCACUUGCUCAACAGAGAACAACAAUUGCAAUAUGUAAAUAGGGUGUCUCUUCCUUUUGGAUGCCUUGGGAUAUGUGUAAUAGAUUAAGUUGGCUUUGUGCAGAGCAAACAGGUCUGUUACCAAGAAUAUGAAUAAUGUCAGUUUCCAUAAUUGCUAACAUCUGGCUUUCCACAAAUCUGUUAAAUUUCAUGGAAGUAGAAUUAGGUUUCUGUGUCAUAAGUAAAGCAAUUACAUGCAACUCUGUAGGCAACACAGCUCUGUAUUGACUUUGAAGUCCUUCCCUUCUGUAGUGAACAUUUGGGUUUUACACUUUGUUUUUAUUAUGGACAGGAGGUUUGCUUGCCAUUGUGUUCUUUUUUUGUGAAGGGAAAGGGUUGCUAAUGUCUUUGCCAUUUUGUAAACUUGAAAUAGCCAAAUACUAAGCUAUCAUUUCAGGAGUGGGAAUUAACAUUUUAGGGUGGGAAUUAACUGCCAAUUUUGAGAAUAUUUUAGAGAGAGCAAAACUUGGUAAUGAUUUGGUGGAAAUUACAUUUUUAGACAGUUCCUAGAUAGGUUUAUUAAGUGGUCCCCUUGGCCUCUUUCCUAAAAAAAUGAUAGAAAAAUGAAGUUGUUUUGGGGGACCAUGAGAUUUUCCUUCCUGUUUCACUGUGACUACCUUUUUAUGUUUCUUCUAUUUUACAUUAGAAUCAAGGAUAUCUCAGACUAUGAAUUAGUAAGAAAAAAUUUUCCUUGAGGGCAAACUAUUGGUUAGUCCUUGUGCUUGCUGAACACUCUAAAAACAAAAUUUCAUCAAUAUAAAGAAUAUAUUUUUGUAAAUUUCAUGAAUUUAUAUGAAUUUAUGUAUUACAUGAAGUUAUAUAAAUAGAUUGUCUAAGAUGUUUUCUGCCAUCUGGGGCACUGGGAAGAGUGAGCAAUAAAGUGCCAGUUCUGCCCUCACUGCCCAUAGUGAUGUACACAUCAACUGAUGGCCGCUGGGGGCGAGAGAGUCAGUUUUCUCCUUUGAAUGUGCCUCCAGGAGAUAGAUGGUCCUACACCCGGGCACUGACUGCCAGAACCCAGUGGAUUCAGUAGGUUUAAAAAAGAGAAUACAUGAAGUUGGAAGGGAAAAUGUUUCAGAGCGAUGGGAAGAGUUUGUAAGAAGUGGGGAUUUAAUUUAAUCAAAAUAUAGUGUAUUCUCACUUGAAAUAAAAGAUGAAUUUAAAAUAAUACUAUAACUCAGAAUAGGUUAUAAAGAUAGUGUUUCUCUAUUUCCCUUUUACAGAGGAGGAUAAAUAAAACUGAAGACAUUUUAAAAAUGUCAGAUGGAAACCUAUUACUAUAGAAGUUGCCUACAAUAUAUUCAGCACAUAUUUAAAGAGUUAAAAAUGGAGUGGCCCUGUCAUGGGGCAAAAUGUUUAAGAGACAUCACAGAAUAGCAAAUGAAAAGUUCAGUGCCAGGAAUGACCUCUUUUGGGUUGUUGGCAAGUGAAGCCCCAUAGCCCCUCAAACAUAACAUGCUAUUACCAGGGAUAUUAGAUACCCUUCAGAAGUUGAUGGUAAAAUUCCUAUUGCUGAAGACAGCAUAUAUUGACCCAUACAACACACAAAAAGUAAAGCUGCUACUCACCUAAAAUCUUCAUCCUUGCUAGCGAGAUGUCCUAAGGUAGAAGGUGCUACUGGAGGAAUAAAGUACUAUAUUAUUCUUGCACAGCUAUGAAUGUGAACCCUGGAAUCUAAAACUGUGUCCUGCAUGACAAGACAUGCCCACUGGUGAGAUAGUGGUGCAAAUAUUAUUUGAUGAACCAACCACUUUCUUCUUGGAAUUAAAGGCUGUUUCAGAAAAAUAAAACUCAUAUCUAAUAUUGAUACUAGAGCCAAGAACAUAUGCAUAGCCAAGUCAGAGGCUCCAGGGGUUAUUACUCUGCUAACAAGACAUGAUAUUAAACCAACUCCUAAUGACUUAUUGCUGUAACCAUUGAUUACUGCAUUUGUCAACCUUCAUCAAAAAAAGUCCUCUUUUUAUAUACAGUAAUUACCACAGAGACCCCCAAAUGGGGCAAAGUGUAGAGAAUUACAGACUGCAAAAUGUUUAUAUGUCAUAUCUCCUCCUCCUAGGAGUCCACUAUCAUCAUAAUGAGGGUUGAAAAGAAUAAGACAUUGCUGCAAAUUAGCAUCAUAUUUGGAGAUUAUCAACAGUGUUUUAAAUAUACAUACUUAUUAUAUCAAGGAAUAAACAUUGCAUUUUCAUUAUAUUAUCUAUAAUUUGGUUUUCAUAUGAGUCAAGACUUGUUACAACUUUGUUAUACUGUUUGUAUAACAGUAAAGGAGCUCCAGUGUAGAGAAGACGCCCAUGGGCAUAUGCUCUUACAGGCGAAGUGACUGCUUUAUUGAAAGCACUGAAUUGGAAGGAAAAUAGGAUUCCAACUUGGAUCUACUAACUAUUUUGACUCAGUGGGUGACUUUGCUUGGGAAUAGUUAGAGGGAGACUGAGAAGACAAAGGGGGGUGGCGUCCUAGAAAGGAUCAUCACACUACAUAAUGUGCAAAUGGCCUUGCUUAAAAAUGUCAUAAAACAUGCUUCAAAGCUGAGAAAGUCCUUGCUGUGCUGAGUUAGAAUCCAGGUAUCAAAUUUUUCAUCCUUUCCAUGGCUUCCAUUCAUUGUUUAUUAACUAAAUGGCUUCCCUGAGACUUCAGUUGGUAGAACAAAAAGAGAAAGUAAAUCUUAGAAGCAAAUAGGUUCUAGAAAUGAUUGCUAUGUAAGCUUAAUGGUGGAAGCUUACAAUUGCAGAUACUCUGUAGGGCUAUAUCAGAGGAUUUCAUACUCAAGGUUAGCCUGGGCUCCUGAACAGGCAAGGCCAGCAUGGGGAAUGUCAGGAGACACUGCCUCAAAAUAAGAAGCAUAAAGAGGUCUGGGGAUAGAGCUCAUCCAGAGCUCAUGUACCUGUGUAGCAUGCACAAGACUGCAGGUUCAACCCCCUAGUGUCACAAAAAAAAUAUAUAUAUAGCAUCGAAACUACUUAAUGUCUUCUUGUAUUGUUGCCAUGAAUCCGUUUUAUAGCAAUAUGGUCCCUGCAGUCGGGAAGAGAACAUAGGUCACAGAUUUCCCAUUAUUUUCAAGUCAUAAUUGCUUCAAAACUCUAACACACUUGGGAUAAUUGCAUCAUUUUACACUCAGAAUGUCAACUAAAAGUACUCCAGGGAUCUAUGUAAGAUAUAAUGUUUGAAAAUUAAUCUUAGAGUCUAGAGUGUAAGUUGUGGAAAGUAAAUAGAAACCACAAAAGCAGUGCAGUACUCUUUAGCUCUUGAGUUGGCAUAGGAUUACAGAAUCCUCUAGAAGCACUCCCCACUGUAGUAUGUGCUAGUUACAAACCUACCUACACCUUGCUUUCCCUGCUUUAAAAACUGAAGCUCACUUCUUUCUUGGGAUCACUAUAGCAUAACUAAUUCUUGAAAAACAAGAGCUGUCAGGAUAUUCAUCAUCUUUAUGUGUAUAAACACACACACACAGUAAAAUUGCUGCUGUUAUGGCUUUAAAAUUGUAGUGUAAUAUUUCCAAAAUAUGAUUUUAAAUAUAUAUAUAUAUAUAUAUAUAUAUAUAUAUAUAAUUUUCCAUCUCCUAACUCUUCCUAGAUCAUUCCCAUCUUUUAUCCACCAAACUUUGUUUUUUUUCUCUUUCAAAAAAAAAAAACUCCACAGAUCAAAACUUAAAG
rnacentral:lncRNA from 1 species